rnacentral:telomerase_RNA from 1 species
UGCGUUGUGGGGUCUUCCGCCUCGACCGCAGGUUAUCUUAGCUCACGACUUACAUAGUCCGGGCUCCUACAAACCCUAGAGUUGGUUGACGAGUGGCCGGUUGCGCGGAGCGCGAUAAGUCACAAGUCUGCUAUAAGACUGCGGGAGGAUUUCAGGGUGGUGCUUCCCUCCCGCGGGGGCGGCAGCUGUUGCGCUGCUCCUUCACUCAAGCGGUCACCGGUUCGAGCGGCGGGCUCCUCAACAAGUAUAUGACACCGAGGGGAAUGGUGCGCGACCCUCCCUGGUGUGGCGCUGGCAGGGCGGUACAAUGCGGAUCUCGUACGGGGUCGGUGCGCGCCGGAAUCGUGGGUCACCUGCUUCGAGCAGGGCCUUCGCAUGCGCCGCGCCCGAAGCCGGGAGGGGCGAGAGAUAUCAACAUCCGACCGUGGCUGCAUAUUGC